CCUACGGGAGGCAGCAGUAGGGAAUCUUUCACAAUGGGCGAAAGCCUGAUGGAGCAACGCCGCGUGCAGGAUGAAGGCCUUCGGGUUGUAAACUGCUUUUAUAAGCGAGAAAUAUGAUGGUAACUUAUGAAUAAGGAUCGGCUAACUACGUGCCAGCAGCCGCGGUCAUACGUAGGAUCCGAGCAUUAUCCGGAGUGACUGGGUGUAAAGAGUUGCGUAGGUGGCAUAAUAAGUAGCUAGUGAAAUCUGGUGGCUCAACCAUUCAGGCUAUUAGCUAAACUGUUAAGCUCGAGACCGUUAGGGGUAACUGGAAUUUCUAGUGUAGGAGUGAAAUCCGUAGAUAUUAGAAGGAACACCAAUAGCGUAGGCAGGUUGCUGGGACGGUUCUGACACUAAGGCACGAAAGCGUAGGGAGCAAACGGGAUUAGAUACCCGUGUAGUC
rnacentral:rRNA from 1 species